rnacentral:rRNA from 1 species
GAUGAACGCUAGCUACAGGCUUAACACAUGCAAGUCGAGGGACCGGCGCACGGGUGAGUAACACGUAUCCAACCUGCCCUUUACUCGGGGAUAGCCUUUCGAAAGAAAGAUUAAUACCCGAUAUAAAGGAUGGGGAUGCGUUCCUUUAGGUUGUUGGUGAGGUAACGGCUAACCAAGCCUUCGAUGGCUAGGGGUGCGGAGAGGAAGGUCCCCCACAUUGGAACUGAGACACGGUCCAAACUCCUACGGGAGGAAGGAGUGAGGAAUAUUGGGCAAGGGGCGCUAGCCUGAACCAGCCAAGUAGCGUGAAGGAUGAAGGCUUAUGGGUCGUAAACUGCUUUUAUAGAAGAAUAUGUAUUAGAAGAAGAAGGAUCGGCUAACUCCGUGCCAGCAGCCGCGGUAAUUC